UGUAUUUAUUUAAGUAGGAGGAAUGACGAAAAUGGAAUGCGUUUGGUCUAUGAAAUGGAUGGUGAUGCCUUAGGAGCGGUAUUCGUUAACGUUAAUGAUGCUGCUAGAGCUCGAAGAUCAUCGGUACUUAAGAAGGACCACGCAUUUAGGCUACCUAUGAUCUGAAUGCGUGAAUGUGUGUUUUCUUUUGCCCGUUUCUAUGUCUUUUCUUCUGUUCUUGCUUGAAAUGUUCUGUUUUUUUCUUUAUUGUUUCUUGUUAUCUUCAUCCAUGUAGUGAGUUUAAGUACGCUUUGUAAUCAUAUCUCAAUUUUAAUAAAUUAAAUUUGCCACUAUUCAAUUAGACAUGAGUGAUUGUCACGAUUGAAUUUGAAGGUGAAAAUACUAUAACCUAGCAAUUUUGCAUCGUGUUUAAUAUUUUUGGAUUGAUAAAUCUGAAAGUUUCAAGGUUGCUCUUCGGGCACCCUUGAUUUGCUAAAAAAUCAAAAUACCGUUUGCAGAGAGUUGAACUUAACUGUCGUUCAUCACACAACAAUAGUUGACUAGUAGUUGACACUUUUAUAAACGGUCCAAUUACUAUUUUAGUCUCAAAAUCUUGUUAAGGGAACUGCACUUAUCUGUCGUUCACCAUGCAAUGGUAGCUAAGUACGGUUCGACACUUUUUAUAUUGGUGUAAUCACUGUUUUAGUCCCUUUCUUUAGAGCCGUUUCUCUGUCUUUUAUUUUCUUCUUUUCAUUUGUUCCUGUUUUUAGUCUUGGUUUUUGCUAUUUUUCUUGUUUCUUUGUUCUUUUCCUCAGUGCAAUGAGUUUUAGUAUUCUUCGUAAUUAUUUCUCAAUUUUGAAGAUCGCAGUUAAAGAACGGUGGUUCACGGAUGGUGUGGUAGAGACACGUUAACACUCCAACGCUUACCAAAUUUUUGGUGUGACGGAUCUCUUGAUAGAUGAGGAAUGUGUCUGCAGACACGUUAACACUUCAACUCUUAAGUCAAUAUCGGGAAAAGGAGGAUAUAACAAAGCAUGCGACGGAUGGGCUAGAGGUUGGGAUCGAGGAUUAUGCUAUGAUUGUUCAAGACCGUGAUAUUCAAGUUGCGGGUAUUUCCAUUGUCCAUGACGAACUAUAAACUCGUGCUUCUUCGGUUCCCAUAUCUUCACAGUUUUUGAGAGCUUCUCAGUUAGAUUUGGUUUCUUUAUCUCUUGCAGGAGGUGAUCUGUGGGUGAUUCCAAAGGUAGUUACUGAAAAAAAGAAGGUUGAUGGGGGUUCCAGGCACUCAUCUCGUAAUCUGUAGAGAGUUGCGAGGAUGCUAGCUAAGGAUAGAAUGAAGAUCUUCAAAAUUUUGUCUAGGCAGGCAAGUGAGCAGAAGGCAAGAUUGUUAUCUAAAUCUUCUAAGUCAAAGGACAUUGAUCGAUCUCACCAAUUCAAAAAUAUUUUCUAAUACUUCUAUUUUAUAUGUCAAUAAGGAUUGGGAACAUUGUGUGUCUUUAUAGGGUUGUACUAAGGCGGCGGAUGCAAAUGUUUGUGGGAUUGGUGGUUUGAUUGGUGUUAAGUAUAAAGGAGAUAAAGGAAAUAUAUUUAAUGUGUUGUCAAAAGAGGUUAGGCGUAGUUUUAGAGAGGAGGUGGGGAGAAUUUUUGCCAAGGGGGAAUACAGAGGGUGUGGUGUCGGUUGCUAGGUGGUGGCCGUAGGUGUGUGUGUGUUUGGGGUGGAUUUUUGUUCUAAUGAAGAUUGUUUCGUAUAAUGUCAGGGGGUUAGGAUAUUUUGAGAAGCAAGGUGAGGUUAGGCGUUUGGUGGUUGACAAGAAACCUUUUGUUGUUUGUUUUUAAGAAUCAAAAUUGGGUUUGGUAGAUGACUAGUUGGUUAAGGAAAUUUGGGGAAGUUCUGUGGUGGGUUACUCUCUUCAACCAUUGAUGGAGCUUCUGGUGGCUUAUUGACGGUGUGGGAUAGAAGUUGUGUGGAUGUCUCCUCAACUUCUAGUUUUCCGCAUGUUUUGGUGAUCAGAGGUCGGGUUCUUAAAACUAAUGAGAAGUUUGUUAUUGAUGAUGUUUAUCCUCUAUGUGACACGACGGCGAAGCAGGUAUUAUGGGAUCAACUGUCGCAUUUUGAUAAUAAUAGUGUGGCCAACCUCUGUUUAUGUGGUGAUUUUAACUCAGUUCGAUCUGAUGGGAUAAAACCGCAAGUGCACGAUUAUAUCGAAGUAGUAAAAAGAUAGUAUCGUUCCGACAGGGAAUUUUUUAAUUCAAUUAACUAUAGUUGAUGAUUAGAGAGAGUUCAAUUUGCAAAGUUGGGGUUUUUAACGGUUGAAAAUAAUAAUAAAAGAGAGCCUUGAGAUUAUUGGUCCAUCAUGGCGACAAAUCUUUCAUAAACCAAACCAUUAAACCUAAAGGAAAAUGUUACAUAGACACCUUUUAAUUGCAUACAUCCUUGUACACCCCAUAUAUUAGGAAGAGAGAAGAGAAGAAGAAAGAGAAAGUGUACUUGUGCGGGGUCCAUAUGGCCACAUGUCAGAUUUUUGUGUGGGUGUCAAGGGGUGUAUUGCCACCUAAGGGUGUUUAUGUAUCAUAACUCAAACCUAAAACCUCAUGUUAGACCUAAUUUUUAACGACAAGUUUCUCUUUAGCCUAUCACAUCUCCUUUCGGUCUCAGUGAGUGUGUUCCUCUAGCAACCACGCCUAUUUUCAUGGUAUACUUCUAAUUUUUAUUUAAUUAUAUUUAGGUAUACAAUCUUAAUUAAUUUACACUAUAUGGCUUGUAACAAUUAAAAUUUCACAUUAAAUUCAACCCAUCAGGGCUGUGUUUGGUAACACGAAUAAGCUAGCUUAUAGCUUGUUGGACUAGCUUAUAAGCUUAUUUUGAUAUAAUAAGAUGUGUUUGGUAAAAAGUUUUUUUCACUAGCGUAUAACGUUUUUUGAGAAGCUAUUUCAAGUAGCUUUUGAGCUUAUAACUGAUAGUUAUUUAUAUUUUCUUCCAAUUUUAACCCUAUUAAUUUAAUUUAAUUAUUUUUUAAUAAAACAACAUGUUCAUGGCUUAAAAAUAACCGCGAAGUUCAUAGUGUUUUUUUUUUAAUAAGACAAAUUUUCUCCUUUGAGAAAAAAACUGUCAUGCUUUAUUAAUUUUUUAAUGAACGCUUUAUAUAUAUUUCUUAAAAGAAAUGUUUUAUAUUUAACUAAAAUGCAGAGAUGAAAAUUGUCGGUGAAAUUUUAUUGGACACUAAAACCAAAAGUUUGAAUAUUUAUAGAGAUCCAAAUAAUAGUUAACCAUAAAAUAAAAUAAUAAAAAAUAAAUACAUUAGAAAAUAUAUAUAUAUAUAUAUAUAUAUAUAUAUAUAUAUAUAUAUAUAUAUAUAUAUAUAAACAUAUCAUUUUAUUUUAUUUUAUACUUAUCAGCUAUUUCAACAACUAAUUUUACUGAACACUUCAAUUUUAAUAAACCAUCUUUGGAGCUAUAAGCUAUUAGUUAUAAGAUAUCAGCUUUCAGCUAGUUUAUAGCUUAUUUAUACCAAACACACCCCACAUACGUUAAUAAAUUUUGUUCCAUUCCAAAACCUAGAACACACAUGACAUUCAAUUUCUUCUUCGGUCUUCUUCCUAUCUUGAUUGUUCAAUUCUCUCAUUCGAGAAUUGUCAUCGUGAAAUCCCUCUCUAAUUCCGUCACUAAAUUUUCCGACCAUGAAAUUUGUGAGGAAUUUCAUUUUUUCCGUCACUAAUUUCCCUCGCUAAUUUUUCUUUUUCUGGUAGUGGUUGUUUCCAUAAUCACAUCAGGUAUCGUGACUUGAUUUGAUUUUUCAUUUUCGUUUCUUUCUCACUACUAUCGUGACUUGAUUGCAACUGUUUUACACUUAUAACUUCCACUUUUUUCAAUUCACAUAAUACUAGUUCUACUCAACAGAGAAAUUUGUGUUUAGUCUUUUAACUUAAUUUUCACAUAUGUUCCAACAUUUUCUUUUUUAAAAAGGACACAUUAAUUAACUUUUAAAUACAGCAACACUAAAUAAACAUCAAGAUAUCCCAUUCACGAGCUUCUCGUGGCCUAUAAAAUAUUCAUCCUUAUAACGAAAGAUGAUUUAGCUCCUCGUAUAUGGAUAACCUUAAUUUUGUGUGUAUGCGGCCUCGAGUAGAGUAACCUUAAUUUUUUAUACAGCUAUUGGAACGUGUAUUAUCCGGUUAAAAAAUAAUACAUCAUGCAUGAAAACAAUAUUGAUUUGUCCACUAUGAACCCAAUGACAGAAUUAUGGAUCACAUGCAUGGAAAAUAUAUAUAUAUAUAUAUAUAUAUAUAUAUAUAUAUAUAUAUAUAUAUAUAUAUAUAUAUAUAUAUAUAUAUAUAUAUAUAUGGGGUUUGCUAGGAUACACCCAUUAGUUUUUAUUAAAUGCAUAAAAAAUAUAUAUGUUAAGACACCAAAAGUAUUACUCUUAUUAUCAUUACUUUGUAAUUAGUACUUUAUAAAUUCAUUUUCUUACCUGGCUUGGAUAAAUUUAUUAAAAAUAUAUUAUCAGAUGUCCUUGAUUAUAAAUGAAUCUUUCGCAAUAAAAAAUACAAAAAUAUUAAAUAAUAAAAGAAACAUAACUUUAUUGAUUCAUCCGAGACAUUAUAUUUUUGGAACUCACAUUGAGCGAUACCAAACAAGCAACUAGAAAGCAACUUAACUUUAUUAUAUGCCCAAACCAACAAUAUAAUAGGACCCAACCACCACAAACGAGAAUAUAAACAAACAUUAAUAUUAGUUGUCUUUAUCCACUACAUGGAGUGUAACUUAACUUUAUCUAAUAGUUGGUGAAUGGUGCUUUCCGUAUUCUUGAAAAUUUUAUUAUUUCUUUAAUUCCACAAAACUCAUGCGCAACAUAAUUAAACAAGUUGCAUAAAGGAACGCCAAACUCACGACCCUCCUGAAAAAUAAACAAACUGAAUAGCAUGAUCCUUUAAAUGGUACGUAUCAGUCGUGAAAAGCCAAGCCACACCCGCUCAAGAACCCAUAGAGAAUCGAAAUAAUAAGGACAAGAGAGAAAUAAAUGAUGAGUAGUCUCGAUACGCCCACACCCAGUCAUGCUAACUAACUUUCAUGAGAAAUAAUGCCACCGCCAUAAAACUGUCCUUCGUCGACAAUCGAUUUCGAAAAAGACGCCAAUCCAAAAUAGAAACCUUUUAAAGGAACUUGUUUAUGCCAAAUGAGUUCUGAAGUAGCAUCAAGGCUAGGGACCUUUUGAGUAGUAAGCUUCUGAUGCACAUUUUGAAUAGAGUAACCGCCACUAGGAGCAAGUUUCCACUGCCAAUAAUCUGAAGAAUUGUUCUACAAAGAAAUGUCAUCAAGCAAAAUCCUACACUUCUCUGACAGCUCCUCCCCCCACACCCACAAUCGACGCACCAUUGUCAGGCCGCCCCUCCCUCCUCCCACCCUAAACCAUCCACUACCGAUAUUGACUUGUUUUUAGACGAAUCGAAAAGACGCUUAAACCGAACAGUUAAGGGGAACCCUCAUAACCACAUGUCAGUUUAAAAAAACGUAUUUGUCCCAUCGCCAACCAUCCUUCGAGUACACUCCUUAAACCACAACCUCCAUACACACCUUUGCCAUCAUGAAUUGUCGCUACCUCCCUUCUCCAAAAAGAACCACUUCGGCCCCCAACCUCAUACCUCUCAUUUCCUCGCCAUACCGAGCUACCAACACCUUGUACCAUAAACCCUUUUUAGCCACUAACAUCCUAUAUCAUAAUUUACCUACAAAGCAAAGUUAAACUCCCUCAUCUUCCUAACCCCUAAACCUCCAUAAUCCUUAGUCAAACAGAUAUUAUGCCAACCAAUCCAAGAAAUUUUCCUAUAUUUCUCACUCCGUCCCUAAAUAUUUUUUUUUUCUUUCAAUAAAUUAAAGAUUCAAUAGAAGAGAUAAUACUUGAUGAAGGUUUGAACAAGGAAAGAGCAUAUAAAGGCAUAGAGGACAAGACAGACUUAAGGAGAACCAGACGCCCACCAAAGGAGAGAAAUCUACUCCUCCACCCAGACAACACCGUUCUCAAAACAAUAAACGCAUCGGAUCACCACCAAUGGUCAAACCUAGAUACAAUAAACGAGUAAUUUUUUAGAGAAUGAUUAAUUAAUGAUAAUGAUUAAUAUAUUUUGAAUUUUCAGAAUGUUAUAACUCCCUAGAUUAAAUUUGAAGAAUUCAUGUAAGCCCUCCAACUGAGGAGGGUAUGAAGAUAUCAGAAACCCCAUAGCCUUCCCCUCUCAUUGUCAUUUAUUAAUUCCACUUAAUUCUUCAUUUUUUUCAAGCUCCUCCCCUCUAAUCUUGGAAACAAAACCUAAGGAAGUAGUUCAACGUCCGGAGAAGAAGUGAACUCUAAGAAGUGAUGUUUAGUGACUUUGAAUCUGUAUUGUAUCGAUUUACCGUAUCAAUUUAAAUUAAUGAAUAUGGUAUUUUUUUUUUUUUAAAUAAAAUAAAAAAUAAUAGUUUAAAGAGAAUCUGCGAAUAUAUGGCCGGCCAUCAUGUGGGAGACCACAUGAACGUUGUUGGGUUCCUUAAUUUUUUUAUUUUUUUCAUACAUGUGAUGUAUAUAUUCAUUUUUAUAUAUCGAUAAACAUAAUGUUUUUUUAAAACAAGUCUAUAAAUAAAGGUUUCAUUGAUACAACAAUUGCACCACAAAUACACACAAACACAAACACAAACACAAACAAAUAAAAUUGCCAUGAAGCCUACAUUAGUUACUACCCUUUGUUUCCUCCUCUUUUCCUUCACCAUCUACUUUCCAUUACCGUUUACACAUGCAAAUGAUUUUAUCGUCAAAGAUAUAUUUGGGAACCCCGUUGUUCCUAGUGGCAGCUACUAUAUUUGGCCUGAUUACUUAGUAAGUGGUGGUGAAUUGAGGCUUGGUGAAACAGAAAAUUCAACAUGUCCAUUUACUGUACUUCAAGAUUAUUCUAACCUUGGUCCUGGCCUGCCAGUAAAAUUUACCCCACAAAAUCAAACAAGUGGUGAUGAUCCCAUCACUUUAAGCUUGCAUAUAGACAUUGCAUUUGAAAACAAGCCAGAUUGUGCAGAAUCCUCCAAGUGGUUGGUGGUUGAAGCAGAAAAUGAGUACCCUACACCAUGGCUGGCUAUUGAUGGUACUGGAAAGAAGGUUUAUGAUGAUGGCUGGUUUGAAAUUAUUGGAUACAAGAAAACGGGAUACCUUAUCUAUUUCUGUCACAAGUUAUCUCCUACACUAGGUGAAUGUAUUUACUUAAGUAGGAAGAAUGACAAAAAUGGAAUGCGUUUGGUCUAUGAAAUGGAUGGUGAUGCCUUAGCAGCGGUAUUCGUUAACAUUAAUGAUGCUGCUAGAGCUAGAAGAUCAUCGGCGAUUUGAAUAAAAUCAAAAGUUAGAAGGACCAUGCAUUCACGCUAACUAUGAUCUGAAUGCGUGAAUGUGUGUUUUCUUUCCCGUUUCAAUGUGUUUUAUUGUGUUAUUUUCUUCUGUUCUUGCUUCUUCUGUAUUUUUCUUUGUUGUUUCUUGUUCUCUUCAUCCCUGUAAUGAGUUUAAGUACUCUUUGUAAUCAUAUUUAAAUUUUAAUAAA
rnacentral:lncRNA from 1 species